AGUGAACGCUGGCGGUAUGCCUAACACAUGCAAGUCGAACGGCAACACAGUAAGCUCUCUCCCUUACCGUUGGCGACUGGCGGGCGGGUGACGCGUACAUCAGCUUCUUCUUUUUCUUGGAUGAUAUCGUGGAACCACAUCUGCUACUACCUCAUACGAUCUACCGGUUAAAUCAAUAGUUCUUCGCACUUUUCCCGUUUCUUUGAGCUGAUGUCGGAUUAGCUAGUUGGGUGGGUAAAGUCACACCAAGCCAACGCUCCGUAGCUGACCUGAGAGGAUGAUCAGCCACACUGGAACUGAGACACGGUCCAGACUCCUACGGGAGGCAGCAGUAGGGAAUAUUGGGCAAUGGGCGAAAGCCUGAUGCAGCAACGCCGCGUGAGUGAAGAAGGCCUUCGGAUCGUAAAGCCCUGUUAUUAGGAAAGAAAAACAGCGGGAGUAAACAUGGCUGUUUUGACGGUACCCAAAGAGAAAGCACCGGCUAACUUCGUG
rnacentral:rRNA from 1 species